CGGACGGGUGAGUAAUGUAUGGGGAUCUGCCUGAUGGCGGGGGAUAACUACUGGAAACGGUAGCUAAUACCGCAUAAUGUCUACGGACCAAAGCGGGGGACCUCCGGGCCUCGCGCCAUCAGAUGAACCCAUAUGGGAUUAGCUAGUAGGUGGGGUAACGGCUCACCUAGGCGGCGAUCCCUAGCUGGUCUGAGAGGAUGACCAGCCACACUGGAACUGAGACACGGUCCAG
rnacentral:rRNA from 1 species